CAGAUCAACAUCAAAUUAAAAUCAGAGAUGCCCGUACAAAUAGAUGGUGAACCUUGGAUGCAGCCUCCUGGUAAUGUGAUUGUACGGCCCAUACUAACACAGGCGCUGAUGCUAUCGAAGAGGAAGGUUAAAGUAAAAAACAAAAGAAGACCCACAAGUUCGUCUCGCCCUCCUGCAAGCCCCAGCGCAACAAGAACUAUUUUUUAUGAUGAUUAAACACUUACCCCGGGCUUAUGGCAGCUUAAUUAGAAACCAUACUGGAUAUUUUUUCCAGCUCUGAUUUAUACUUAACUUGGUAAUCUUGUAAAGUUUCAUCUAGUUAAGUAUUGCUUUAGCCGAGAAAAUGUAAUUCGAAAUUGUAAAGGAAAUUACUGUCAUUUGUAUCGCUUUGGGUAUACGCUGUAUUGUAAACAGUGCAGACUAAAAUUCCAUCUUUAUAGUGCGUUAAAUUGAACCAAUUGUGAAACUCUACCAGCACGAAAUGCAUGCUGGUUGAGAAAUCACACGAACAUCACGUGCUCGUCAUAUAGGCUGAAACAAGGAGAGCGGCUCAGUCCUCACCAUUCGAACCUCUUCAGUGUACAUUACCAUUCGUGCUAUUGGAGUCAAUUUCUAUCACCGGCCAUGAUUUGUUUAUCGAAGUGGUAUAUAAUGAUUCUGAACUAGUCUCGGCCACAUUCUGUCUUUCCCCGUUCCGCCCGUAAAUGCGCAAAGGCGUUGUAGUAGACGCUACGCGCUAACGAACCAAACUCGUAACCUGGUAUUCCAUAGUCGUAUGUAGGAAAAAAAGGGUGGCGCGAGA